UCCAGGAAGUAGAUAUUGUUGAU
rnacentral:piRNA from 1 species